rnacentral:rRNA from 1 species
UACGAAGGGUCCAAGCGUUAUCCGGAAUCACUGGGCGUAAAGCGUGCGUAGGUGGCGUGUUAAGUGUGAUGUUAAAUCGUGUGGCUCAACCAUAUCGAUGUGUCGCAUACUGGCAUGCUAGAGGACAGCAGAGGCAAGUGGAAUUUGUAGUGUAGCAGUGAAAUGCGUAGAUAUUACAAGGAACACCAAUGGCGAAGGCAGCUUGCUGGGCUACUCCUGACACUGAGGUACGAAAGCGUGGGGAGCGAACAGG